GCCGGCGACCGGCGCACGGGUGAGUAACGCGUAUGCGACCUGCCCGUUACAGGGGGAUAAUCCGGAGAAAUCCGGUCUAAUACCGCAUAAUAUCGUGAAGCUGCAUGGUUUUGCGAUUAAAGGAGCGAUCCGGUGACGGAUGGGCAUGCGUGACAUUAGCUAGUCGGCGGGGUAACGGCCCACCGAGGCGACGAUGUCUAGGGGUUCUGAGAGGAAGGUCCCCCACACUGGUACUGAGACACGGACCAGACUCCUACGGGAGGCAGCAGUGGGGAAUAUUGGGCAAUGGGCGCAAGCCUGACCCAGCAACGCCGCGUGAAGGAAGAAGGCUUUCGGGUUGUAAACUUCUUUUGUCAGGGACGAAGCAAGUGACGGUACCUGACGAAUAAGCCACGGCUAACUACGUGCCAGCAGCCGCGGUAAUACGUAGGUGGCAAGCGUUAUCCGGAUUUACUGGGUGUAAAGGGAGCGUAGACGGCAGUGCAAGUCUGGAGUGAAAGGCGGGGGCUCAACCCCCGGACUGCUCUGGAAACUGUACGGCUGGAGUGCAGGAGAGGUAAGUGGAAUUCCUAGUGUAGCGGUGAAAUGCGUAGAUAUUAGGAGGAACACCAGUGGCGAAGGCGGCUUACUGGACUGUAACUGACGUUGAGGCUCGAAAGCGUGGGGAGCAAACAGGAUUAGAUACCCUGGUAGUCCACGCCGUAA
rnacentral:rRNA from 1 species